rnacentral:misc_RNA from 1 species
AUCUGCGAGGAAAAAAUCCAGAGCAAGUAGCCAAACAGAGCAUGUAUGGCAAGAGAUUCAAAGAUCGAGCUUCUUAUUAGGGGAUGGACAUGAUAUAUUAAACUCUAAAUAUAAUGAGAAACCAGAAGUUCUGAGCGAUCACUCUGAUUCAGAAAUGCCUGGUAGAAUUUCAAGUGGCACCAAUGCAUCAGCAUCUUCUUUGUCAAGCAGCGUUCUCGCUAAUCAGAAAAUGGGUGCUAAUUCUCUUAAAAGUUCUAUAAUUGCUGAUUCCUUUUUGAAGUUAACGUGUGA